UGGGGAAUAUUGCACAAUGGGCGCAAGCCUGAUGCAGCCAUGCCGCGUGUAUGAAGAAGGCCUUCGGGUUGUAAAGUACUUUCAGCGGGGAGGAAGGGAGUAAAGUUAAUACCUUUGCUCAUUGACGUUACCCGCAGAAGAAGCACCGGCUAACUCCGUGCCAGCAGCCGCGGUAAUACGGAGGGUGCAAGCGUUAAUCGGAAUUACUGGGCGUAAAGCGCACGCAGGCGGUUUGUUAAGUCAGAUGUGAAAUCCCCGGGCUCAACCUGGGAACUGCAUCUGAUACUGGCAAGCUUGAGUCUCGAAAGCGUGGGGAGCGAACAGG
rnacentral:rRNA from 1 species